rnacentral:rRNA from 1 species
GGAUCCAGACUUUGAUCCUGGCUCAGGAUGAACGCUAGCUACAGGCUUAACACAUGCAAGUCGAGGGGAAACGAUAGAGAAAGCUUGCUUUUUCUAGGCGUCGACCGGCGCACGGGUGAGUAACGCGUAUCCAACCUGCCCAUCACUUGGGGAUAACCUUGCGGAAGUAAGACUAAUACCCAAUGAUAUCUCUAGAAGACAUCUGAAGGAGAUUAAAGAUUUAUCGGUGAUGGAUGGGGAUGCGUCUGAUUAGCUUGUUGGCGGGGUAACGGCCCACCAAGGCGACGAUCAGUAGGGGUUCUGGGAGGAAGGUCCCCCACAUUGGAACUGAGACACGGUCCAAACUCCUACG